rnacentral:snoRNA from 10 species
GUGCAGUGAUGCAUUACAUUAAUCAACACAUCAUUCUGAAAAGACAGAUGUGUAGAAAACUAAUGACUGAGCAUG